AGAGUUUGAUUAUGGCUCAGGACGAACGCUGGCGGCGUGCUUAACACAUGCAAGUCGAACGGGGAUUAUCAAUGAAGCUUAGCGAUUUGAUAAUACUAGUGGCGGACGGGUGAGUAACGCGUGGGCAAUCUGCCCAAUGGUGGGGGAUAACACUGGGAAACUGGUGCUAAUACCGCAUAAGCUGUACCUGGCGCAUGCCGGGUACAGGAAAGGUGGCCUCUUAACAAUGCUAUCGCCGAUGGAUGAGCCCGCGUCUGAUUAGCUAGUUGGUAGGGUAACGGCCUACCAAGGCAGCGAUCAGUAGCCGGCCUGAGAGGGUGUACGGCCACACUGGGACUGAGACACGGCCCAGACUCCUACGGGAGGCAGCAGUGGGGAAUAUUGCGCAAUGGGGGAAACCCUGACGCAGCGACGCCGCGUGAGCGAUGAAGGCCUUCGGGUUGUAAAGCUCUUUUUCAGUGGGACGAAGUCUACCUUGCAAACAGUGAGGUAGGGUGACGGUACCCUGGGAAUAAGCCCCGGCUAACUACGUGCCAGCAGCCGCGGUAAGACGUAGGGGGCUAGCGUUGUCCGGAAUUACUGGGCGUAAAGAGCGUGUAGGCGGAUGUAUAAGUCAGGCGUGAAAGACCGGGGCUCAACCCCGGGGUUGCGUUUGAAACUGGGCAUCUUGAGGGCAGGAGAGGGAAGCGGAAUUCCUGGUGUAGCGGUGAAAUGCGUAGAUAUCAGGAGGAACACCAGUGGCGAAGGCGGCUUCCUGGACUGACCCUGACGCUGAGACGCGAAAGCGUGGGUAGCAAACAGGAUUAGAUACACUGGUAGUCCACGCUGUAAACGAUGGGCACUAGGUGUGGGAGGUAUCGACCCCUUCUGUGCCGGAGUUAACGCAUUAAGUGCCCCGCCUGGGGAUACGGUCGCAAGGCUGAACUCAAAGGAAUGACGGAAG
rnacentral:rRNA from 1 species